GGGGCCAGGUGUGUGGGUGGGUAGGGGAGCGUCGUGCAGCCAGGGAAGCCACAGAGUGAUCUAGUGGUGGAGGCUGUGCGAGUGAGAAUGCAGGCAUGAGUAGCGAAAGAAGAGUGAGAAACUCUUCCGCCGAAUGACCAAGGGUUCCUGGGCCAGGUUAAUCCGCCCAGGGUGAGUCGGGACCUAAGGCGAGGCCGACAGGCGUAGUCGAUGGACAACGGGUUGAUAUUCCCGUACCCGUGUGAACGCGCCCCUGGUGAAUCAGUGAUACUAACCAUCCUGAAGCGUCUUUACGCCCCUUCGGGGGCCCUGGACGUGGAUGCAUGGGACCUGAUCUGGUAGUAGCCAAGCGAUGGGGUGACGCAGGAAGGUAGCUGAGCCAGUCAGUGGUAAUACUGGUGUAAGCGUGUAGGGAGUGUCCCAGGUAAAUCCGGGGCGCACAUAUCCUGAGACGUGAUGCGUAGCCGAUUGAGGCGAAUUCAGUGAUCCUAUGCUGCCGAGAAAAGCCUCUAGCGAGCUUUCACAUGGCCCGUACCCCAAACCGACACAGGUGGUCAGGUAGAGAAUACCAAGGCGAUCGAGAUAACUAUGGUUAAGGAACUCGGCAAAAUGCCCCCGUAACUUCGGGAGAAGGGGGGCCUCGGCUGGUGAUCACCCUUGCGGUGUGAGCUGGUUGGGGCCGCAGAGACCAGUGAGAAGCGACUGUUUACUAAAAACACAGGUCCGUGCGAAGUCGUAAGACGAUGUAUACGGACUGACGCCUGCCCGGUGCUGGAAGGUUAAGAGGACCGGUUAGUUCCCUCGGGAGCGAAGCUGAGAAUUUAAGCCCCAGUAAACGGCGGUGGUAACUAUAACCAUCCUAAGGUAGCGAAAUUCCUUGUCGGGUAAGUUCCGACCUGCACGAAUGGCGUAACGACUUCUCAGCUGUCUCAACCAUAGACUCGGCGAAAUUGCAUUACGAGUAAAGAUGCUCGUUACGCGCGGCAGGACGAAAAGACCCCGGGACCUUCACUAUAGCUUGGUAUUGGUGUUCGGUUCGGUUUGUGUAGGAUAGGUGGGAGACUGUGAAGCGGGCACGCCAGUGUUCGUGGAGUCGUUGUUGAAAUACCACUCUGAUCGUAUUGGACCUCUAACCUCGGACCAUGAUCUGGUUCAGGGACAGUGCCUGGUGGGUAGUUUAACUGGGGCGGUUGCCUCCCAAAAUGUAACGGAGGCGCCCAAAGGUUCCCUCAGCCUGGUUGGCAAUCAGGUGUCGAGUGCAAGUGCACAAGGGAGCUUGACUGUGAGACUGACAAGUCGAGCAGGGACGAAAGUCGGGACUAGUGAUCCGGCACCGGCAUGUGGAAGCGGUGUCGCUCAACGGAUAAAAGGUACCCCGGGGAUAACAGGCUGAUCUUCCCCAAGAGUCCAUAUCGACGGGAUGGUUUGGCACCUCGAUGUCGGCUCGUCGCAUCCUGGGGCUGGAGUAGGUCCCAAGGGUUGGGCUGUUCGCCCAUUAAAGCGGCACGCGAGCUGGGUUUAGAACGUCGUGAGACAGUUCGGUCUCUAUCCGCCGCGCGCGUUAGAAACUUGAGGAAGGCUGUCCCUAGUACGAGAGGACCGGGACGGACGAACCUCUGGUGUGCCAGUUGUUCCACCAGGAGCACUGCUGGUUGGCUACGUUCGGAAGGGAUAACCGCUGAAAGCAUCUAAGCGGGAAGCCUGUUCCAAGAUGAGGUUUCUCUCCCCCUUUGAGGGGUUAAGGCCCCCGGCAGACUACCGGGUUGAUAGGCC
rnacentral:rRNA from 1 species